UGGUAUGUAGCUCAGUGGUAGAGCACUUGCCUAGCAUGCAUAAGGGCCUGAGUUUGAUCCCCAGCUUGACAA
rfam:Fukomys damarensis contig111416, whole genome shotgun sequence.